UACAGAGGGGGCAAGCGUUGUUCGGAAUUAUUGGGCGUAAAGGGCGCGUAGGCGGUUUGACAAGUCUGAUGUGAAAUCUCUGGGCUCAACCCAGAGUCUGCAUUAGAAACUGUCGGGCUUGAGUAUGGGAGAGGUGAGUGGAAUUUCCGGUGUAGCGGUGAAAUGCGUAGAUAUCGGAAGGAACACCUGUGGCGAAAGCGGCUCACUGGACCAUAACUGACGCUGAGGCGCGAAAGCUAGGGGAGCAAACAGG
rnacentral:rRNA from 1 species